UGGGGAAUAUUGGACAAUGGGCGCAAGCCUGAUCCAGCAAUGCCGCGUGUGUGAAGAAGGCCUUCGGGUUGUAAAGCACUUUUAUCAGGAGCGAAACGCUGUCGGCUAAUACCCGGCGGAACUGACGGUACCUGAGGAAUAAGCACCGGCUAACUUCGUGCCAGCAGCCGCGGUAAUACGAAGGGUGCAAGCGUUAAUCGGAAUUACUGGGCGUAAAGCGUGCGUAGGCGGUUUCUUAAGUCUGCUGUGAAAUCCCCGGGCUCAACCUGGGAAUGGCAGUGGAUACUGGGAGGCUAGAGUGUGUCAGAGGGUGGUGGAAUUCCCGGUGUAGCGGUGAAAUGCGUAGAGAUCGGGAGGAACAUCAGUGGCGAAGGCGGCCACCUGGGACAACACUGACGCUGAGGCACGAAAGCGUGGGGAGCAAACAGGAUUAGAUACCCUGGUAGUCCACGCCCUAAAGCGAUGCGAACUGGAUGUUGGUCUCAACUCGGAGAUCAGUGUCGAAGCUAACGCGUUAAGUUCGCCGCCUGGGG
rnacentral:rRNA from 1 species